AACGGAGGGAGCGAGCGUUAUUCGUCAUGAUUGGGCGUAAAGGUGAUCUGUAGGUGGCGUUUAGGUAAAUUGAACGUAAAGCCUUUUUUUAAUUAAUUUUGGAGGAUUCAAUUUUAUUUUAAGCUAUGAGUGUAUGUGAGAUGAUAGCAGGUACCCGUGGAGGAGAGGUGAAAUUCGUAAAUACCACUGGGGACUCACGUUAUGUGAAAACGGCUAUCUUCGAUAUAACUGACGCUGAGGGAUGAAAGCAUGGGGAGCAAACAGG
rnacentral:rRNA from 1 species